rnacentral:rRNA from 1 species
AUUGAACGCUGGCGGCAUGCCUUACACAUGCAAGUCGAACGGUAACGGGCCUUCGGGUGCCGACGAGUGGCGAACGGGUGAGUAAUGUAUCGGAACGUACCUUUCAGUGGGGGAUAACGUAGCGAAAGUUACGCUAAUACCGCAUAUUCUGUGAGCAGGAAAGCAGGGGAUCGCAAGACCUUGCGCUGAUUGGGCGGCCGAUGUCAGAUUAGCUAGUUGGUGAGGUAAAGGCUCACCAAGGCGACGAUCUGUAGCGGGUCUGAGAGGAUGAUCCGCCACACUGGAACUGAGACACGGUCCAGACACCUACGGGAGGCAGCAGUGGGGAAUUUUGGACAAUUGGGGCAACUCUGAUCCAGCCAUGCCGCGUGAGUGAAGAAGGCCUUCGGGUUGUAAAGCUCUUUCGGUCGGGAAGAAAUCGCAUGGGUUAAUACCCUGUGCGGAUGACGGUACCGGCAUAAGAAGCACCGGCUAACUACGUGCCAGCCGCCGCCGUAACAC